AUUGAACGCUGGCGGCAGGCCUAACACAUGCAAGUCGAACGAGUGGCGGACGGGUGAGUAAUGUCUGGGAAACUGCCUGAUGGAGGGGGAUAACUACUGGAAACGGUAGCUAAUACCGCAUACCAUCGGAUGUGCCCAGAUGGGAUUAGCUUGUAGGUGGGGUAACGGCUCACCUAGGCGACGAUCCCUAGCUGGUCUGAGAGAAUGACCAGCCACACUGGAACUGAGACACGGUCCAGACUCCUACGGGAGGCAGCAGUGGGGAAUAUUGCACAAUGGGCGCAAGCCUGAUCCAGCCAUGCCGCGUGUGUGAAGAAGGUCUUCGGGUUGUAAAGUACUUUCAGCGGGGAGGCGUUACCCGCAGAAGAAGCACCGGCUAACUCCGUGCCAGCCGCCGCGGUAAUAC
rnacentral:rRNA from 1 species